AGCCUAAACUCUGCUGUUGCGGAGCAUGGCAUAAAAACCAAACAAGGAUAUUAAGCUCGUCGUCAGAGCACCUUGUUUGGUCGUAUGAGGAAACUCAUAUGGGUGGUCGCAAGAUCAUC
rnacentral:sRNA from 1 species